rnacentral:lncRNA from 1 species
UCUUAUUAAAAGCCACAUAAGCUAGGACCAGGUGAAAUAAAAUAUUCUAACCAGUUACUAGUUACUUAUAUAAACUUAUCAAAAGUGGCAUAUUUAUGGGCUAAACAAGUAUUGUCUGUCAACUGAGGCAUUGUUAUUUAGAUUGCUCUGAUAAGGUAAGCAGGAGGUAAAACGUUUCUGAACAGGUAAGACGACAGAACCAUUGUAUUCUGGGAAAGAUUAUUGGAUACUAUAUAUCUUUUUAAAUGUUUGAGAACUUUUAAGUAUUUGCUGCAAGUCAACAAACUUUGAACCUUUUUCUAGAACCUUGUUUGUAUAAUGCCUUAAAUCCUGGAAUGCUUUAGAUGCCUUCUCUCCAAGUUUCCUGGCAUAUUGAAUUAAAAAACAAACAAACAAACAAAAGAAAGUCCUACUAAAUCCAAAAGCAAAAUAUAAAUGAAUGCUUACAUUUUAAAAACUUCUUCUGGAUUUUCGUAUUAUAAAAUUCUGCAAACAUUCAUUACAGUUGGCACCUUCCUCAUAUAUCAGGUGUCCUUGAUUUGCUGGUUCCCUACGCACAUGGUUACUUUGCCAAUUGGAUAAUCCAUCAUGAUAUUCUACAUUUUUCACCAUGAUCCUGACAUGUCAGUUAACUGAACUGGUGUACAUUAUCCAUAGAUAGGUUAUCAGUUUUCAAAGAGAAAAGCAAAUUUAGUUAACCCUGUUCCUUCAGAUUUCAUCAGUGGAAUGGUUAUGCUAUUGGCUCUCAUGCGAAUGGAAAAAAAAAAAAGGCUCAAUAAUGUCAAACUAUGGGAAGUUCCUUUUUUUGCUGCCUGUCUCAGAUAAUUUGUGUAAAUUAAAGCAAUCAUUUAUCAAUCCCCAUAACGUGCCAGAUACCAUGUUAUGUGUUUUGGAUCUGUAUAGUGCCUUUAUCCCUGAGUGGUAGAUAGUAUUUUCCUCAUCUUAAAGAUGAAGAAACAAAGACACAAAGAGCUUAAUGACAACUUAGCAAAUACAUUUCUAAUCAUGUUAGAAGUCAGCCUUGCUGUCAUGGAGGUCAGAGGGAUGUCAUGGAUUGGGUAGAGUCACUGAGACCAAACAGGGUGGGGUUGGAACCCCACCCAGCCAGACUCUCACCAUGUAUGGGCAAACUUCACAGUCUCUGAAAUUUGGCUUCCUUACAUACAUACAUACAUGACACCUCAAUGACCUUGCCUUGCAAGAUAGUUUGGGGGAAAAAGUGAAAUAAAGUGUUUUAAUUGGAUUGGUACAGAGUAAGUGUUCAAAGCAGUUAUGCUCCUUUACUUUGAGUCCUCUGCUAUUCUGUAUACAAUAGCUGCCUUCUAGAAUUAGAGAUCCUGCACUAAAUUCUAUGCAAUAAAAAUAUUCAAUUGUUGUCAGUGUUGACAAGUCACAACUUGUUGUAAUAACAAAACUAAUUUUUUCUAGUCCUGUACUUUGAUUGUGGGCAUGACUGCAGCUAGUAAAUAUGUGGCAUUGAAAUAUGGUAGCAUACAUCUGUCUGAGAGCAAGUGGCCAGAAGUUGGGGUAUGUAGAGGGAGUCUAGAUUUGAGAAACUUGCCAAAGAAAUUGAGAAAUUUGAGAAAUUUCCAAAUAAUGGUUAUGUAGUAGGUUCAUCAAGAUCUAAGUGGCAUUUGCUCAGAAGUAUUGGUUAAAGUUCAUCAGCAGAAAUCCUUUUACAUGAUCUUUCCAUGAAGAAGUGUUGAGACUAUAUCAUCUCUUUUCUAUGUGUUUAACUUUGGCUAUCUGGAAAGUUGGAAUCUGAAGCUUAGUUAAGAUCUUGGAUCUGAAUCCUUAGUCUAUCCUUUACUAGCUGUGAAACUUUGAGUAAGGUGCACAGUGACUCUAGCCUCAUCUGUUAAAUUGAAAUGAUAUUGUCUUCCUCUUAGUGCUAUUCUAUAUGAGCUGAUAUAAGUAUGAAUAUAAGUGCCUCGUUAUAAACAGAGUGUCUGGCCUGUGGCCCUCAAACAAUAAUGGCUAAUAUUGCCUUGGAUAUUGGGUAUUAUCCUAGAAAAAAGGAGCCAACUUCCUUCUAAAAAUUUAGAAAGGAUACAUAUUGGAGAGCCCCAGAGCAAUCACUUUACUCUGUCAUCUAAAAUCAUAAUCAUAAUAGUUGGGACUCCUGGGUGGCUCAGUUGUUGAGCAUCUGCCUUCAGUUCAGGGCAUGAUCCCAGAUUCCGGGAUCCAGUCCCACAUCAGGCUCCUUGUGGGGAGCCUGCCUUCUCUCUCUCUCUCUCUCUCUCUCUCUGUGUGUGUGUCUCAAAUAAAUAAAUAAAUAAAUAAAUAAAUAAAUAAAUAAAUCUUUUAAAAAUAUAUUAAAAAAAAAAA